AAAAUUAAAAAAAAAAAAAAAAAAAAAAAAAAAUGUUACAUAUGCUUCAGAAGGUUUUACACUCGCACAUAGUUUAUCAAGAAAAAAAAAUGUGUCAAAAGAUAAUAACAUGAAGUGCGAAUGAGCCUGUGGCUCAAUGGUAGCAUCCCUCUCACAAAGUGGAGAGGUUGUGGGUUCGAAACACGUCAACAGCUGAUUGUUGAUAUAAGUUUCCACACGUAAUUUAAAGGGGUAAGGGCCCCUCAACCCUGCUUGCCAACCAAAAAAAAAAAAAAAAUAAUAACAUGAAGUUUUGUGCCCCAUCAAAAGUGAUUUUUUCAAAAAUGUUUACACCCUUGUUCUUCCACCCUCCAUUACUAACCAAG
rnacentral:lncRNA from 1 species